AUUAGUGCGGAGUAUUAUACACACUACACCCGUACUACGGUAUCUGGUUACCGCUCGACCAAUUUCCUGUUACUGUGAGCCCACAACACCAUACCGGAUAAUCAGCUCGGCAACGGUCGUGAUCGAAUUCAGGAAAUGCCCGUCGUUGUUGUUCCGUUCCGUUCAAUUAGCGAGAAGUCAGAAGUAAAAUGGCCCGUCAAACGAGAAAUUAAUAAGAAAGAACGGGAAAAGCGCUUGUGAAUGCUCGAAUGCGUCGUUUAGUAUCUCCCAAAAGUCCAUUAAUGGUAUUUUCUGAGUUGUUCAAAGAUGUACCAAUUCAAUUACAAGAGCACUCAAUAAAUAAUGUUACGGGUUACACUGCUAUACUUGAGAUUGAUGGUCAGAUGUAUACUGCAAAUCACAUCUCCAAGACUCAAGCCAAACAAAAGGCAUGUGAAAAUUUCUUGCGCAUUAUGUUGGCUAAAAAAAUAAGUGAGCGAUCUGGUAGGUUGAUCUAAUUAACUUUUAAUGGUAAUCAAAAAAAAAAAAAAUCCCCAAAGCAAAUAGUUAUAUAAUAUAUACUUCUUAAAAUACUCAUAACACGCUUUAAAAUUAAAAUAUAAUAAAAAGCCUAUGAUAUUACCUGUAUGAUAAUCUUACAUUUAAAUUAUGAUAUUUAAGAGUCAAUUCACAUUAAUUUUUAAACUAACCUGCUCUGCUGAGCGUAAAAAUUUUCAUUUUUUAAAUAAGUAUUUUUUAUAUUUUUAUAUUUAAAAUUACUUAAAUAUUUAUAUACUAUUAAUUAUUAUAUUACUGUUUAAGAGUUUUA